AUGAAUAAAUUGGUCAAGUUGUUGCUGGUUCUUCGGGACAUGUGCACACUUGCCACCAUUUUAACCACCUGUGCACCUUUUGUAGACUGUAGAAACGUUUCUCGAGGCAACUCGGAUUUAGGACUGCUGUGCGCAAGCCGGCUGUUCUUGUGUUUCUCAGUUUAUGUUUAUAUAUACUCCUAAUGUAUGUAUUGGAAUGAAUUGCUAGGCCUUUAGUGCCUUUAAAUUAAAUA
rnacentral:misc_RNA from 2 species